AUACCACACACACACACACACCACACACUCACAUACACACACACACCACACACACACCCACACCACAUACACACUAUACCACACACACACACACACACCACACACUCACAUACACACACACACACACCACACAGGCGCCACAGCACACCCACACAGACUAUACCACACACACACACACCACACACCCACACCACAUACACACUAUACCACACACACACACCACACACACACACACACACACACACACACCACACACAUACACACCCACACCACAUACACACUAUACCACACACAUACACACACACCACACACAUACACACACACACACACCACACAGGCGCCACAGCACACCCACACAGACUAUACCACACACACACAUACCACACACUCACAUACACACACACCACACACACACACACACACACACACCACAUACACACUAUACCACACACACACACCACACACAUACACACACACACACACCACACAGGCGCCACAGCACACCCACACCCCCACACACACCACAUACACACUAUACCACACACACAUACACACACACACACACCACACACACAGACUAUACCACACACAUAUACACCAUCACACACCACACAGACACCACACAGGCACCACGGCACACCCACACAGACGACACCACACACACACACCGCACAGGCACCACACUAUACCCACACACACACCACACCCACACACAUAUACACAUAUACAUACCACCCACACACACUAUGCCACACACACACAACACAGACACCCACACACACAUACACAAUACACACACACACACCCCCCGUACACACGCCACAUCACACAUUCCACACACACAAACCCCACACCACACACACAUACCACAGAUACCACACCACAGACACAUGACACACACCACACACGCAUUACCACAUACACACGUCUCACACACCGUAUGCAUACCACACACGUAUCCCACGUAUGUACCAUGCACAACACAUCGCACACACAGUAUCAGAACUAGUAAGCCAGUUCAUACGGCAGGACAUGAACCAGUACAGGAAAAUCUACUGCAUUCAUACGUUAGUAAUGAACAAUUUGGAAAUGAAAUUAAGCAGGUCCGUCUACCACAGUAUUAA
ensembl:lncRNA